rnacentral:lncRNA from 1 species
UCCACUCAGCAGGGAGGAGCAGUACUUAAGCUCCCCACCUUAACCUGGGACCAACCUGACCUGACCUAGGAGGGCUCUGAGCUAACUCUGCUCUUGGGGAAGAGGACAGAUGUUGAAAUUCUACAGUUUUAUUCUUCCAACCUAGAUCUGGAGUGAGAGUUAAGCCUCUACCCUUGGGUAGAGUCCUGUCUUCUUCCUUUAGGGAAAGUUUGGGGAGAUGCUGGGGAUUACUGGGGAUCCAGACCAGGUGUCUAGUACCCCAGUACUGUUGUUCAAAAUGUAGAACAGGGUGAAGGACGGGGCCCCUCCAGGGAGAUCCCUGCCCAGGAAAAAGACAAAGUCUCCCUUACAGGCAGAGGCUUGGAGGAAGGGUUGCAAAAGUGCAUUGUACCUUCUCUCAUUUGUUUAACUGAUUUUUUUAUUGUCCCCCCUACUCAGAAUCUAGGUUAUCCCCAACCUCUGGCCCCUACUCAGUUCUUCAUUUGGAGGAUUCCCCCCAUUUCAGAGUUAUCAAGAGACACUCCUUACCCAUCUCCACCUCUCCUGCUGCCUAUACCCAA